AGUGAACGCUGGCGGUAGGCCUAACACAUGCAAGUCGAACGGCAGCACAGUAAGAGCUUGCUCUUACGGGUGGCGAGUGGCGGACGGGUGGGGAAUACAUCGGAAUCUACUUUUUCGUGGGGGAUAACGUAGGGAAACUUACGCUAAUACCGCAUACGACCUACGGGUGAAAGCAGGGGAUCUUCGGACCUUGCGCGAUUGAAUGAGCCGAUGUCGGAUUAGCUAGUUGGCGGGGUAAAGGCCCACCAAGGCGACGAUCCGUAGCUGGUCUGAGAGGAUGAUCAGCCACACUGGAACUGAGACACGGUCCAGACUCCUACGGGAGGCAGCAGUGGGGAAUAUUGGACAAUGGGCGCAAGCCUGAUCCAGCCAUACCGCGUGGGUGAAGAAGGCCUUCGGGUUGUAAAGCCCUUUUGUUGGGAAAGAAAAGCAGCAGGUUAAUACCCCGCUGUUCUGACGGUACCCAAAGAAUAAGCGCCGGCUAACUUCGU
rnacentral:rRNA from 1 species